rnacentral:rRNA from 1 species
UACGUAGGGUGCAAGCGUUGUCCGGAAUUAUUGGGCGUAAAGAGCUCGUAGGCGGUUUGUCGCGUCGGCCGUGAAAUCUCCACGCUUAACGUGGAGCGUGCGGUCGAUACGGGCAGACUUGAGUUCGGUAGGGGGAGACUGGAAUUCCUGGUGUAGCGGUGAAAUGCGCAGAUAUCAGGAGGAACACCGGUGGCGAAGGCGGGUCUCUGGGCCGAUACUGACGCUGAGGAGCGAAAGCGUGGGGAGCGAACAGG